rnacentral:rRNA from 1 species
UACGAAGGGGGCUAGCGUUGCUCGGAAUCACUGGGCGUAAAGCGCACGUAGGCGGCUCUUUAAGUCGGGGGUGAAAUCCUGGAGCUCAACUCCAGAACUGCCUUCGAUACUGAAGAGCUCGAGUCCGGGAGAGGUGAGUGGAACUGCGAGUGUAGAGGUGAAAUUCGUAGAUAUUCGCAAGAACACCAGUGGCGAAGGCGGCUCUCUGGCCCGGUACUGACGCUGAGGAGCGAAAGCGUGGGGAGCAAACAGG